rnacentral:SRP_RNA from 12 species
UGGGCGCUUGGCGGGAGAGGAGAGUGAACCUUGUCAGGUGUGGAAG